CCUACGGGAGGCAGCAGUAAGGAAUAUUGGUCAAUGGAGGCAACUCUGAACCAGCCAUGCCGCGUGCAGGAUGAAGGCCCUAUGGGUCGUAAACUGCUUUUGUACCAGAGAAAACCCGAGUACGUGUACUCGGUUGAUAGUAUGGUAAGAAUAAGCAUCGGCUAACUUCGUGCCAGCAGCCGCGGUAAGACGAAGGAUGCAAGCGUUAUCCGGAUUCAUUGGGUUUAAAGGGUGCGUAGGCGGACUGAUAAGUCAGUGGUGAAAUCUCUCGGCUUAACCGAGAAACUGCCAUUGAUACUGUCAGUCUAGAGUACAGAUGAUGUGGGCGGAAUAUGACAUGUAGCGGUGAAAUGCUUAGAUAUGUCAUAGAACACCGAUUGCGAAGGCAGCUCACAAACUGUAACUGACGCUGAGGCACGAAAGUGCGGGGAUCAAACAGGAUUAGAUACCCUGGUAGUCCGCACCGUAAACCGAUGAUUACUCGUUGUUGGCAAUAUGACCGUCAGCGACCAAGCGAAAGCGANAGAAUCCACCUGGGAGUACGCCGGCACGGUGAAACGUCAAANAGAGUUAGAGNGNGAGAGNGCGAGACGACGACGAGGGAGGAGG
rnacentral:rRNA from 1 species